ACUGCUUGUGCCGUACACCCAUAUGCUUGUUAUGCGUUUGGAAUAUCAGAAAAUGUCUUUGGAGACCUUCGGAAAGGGCUGGAGAAACUUUUUGACAUCGACAGAGCAGCACGUGCACUACAAGAGUAUGAGCUCUUUCGUCGAAAACUUGGAGAAUUCUCAUCUGACCUUGCUGCGAGGAUGGCAAAAGAUAGAGGCACUUCUCCAGCUAGUUGGUGGGCUAUGUUUGGUUCAGAAACACCACAUCUUCAGAUAGCAGCUAAGCGACUACUCUCUCAAUGCGCAUCAUCAAGUGGAUGUGAAAGGAAUUGGAGUUCCUUUGCCUUUAUUCACACAAAGCUUCGCAACAGGUUAAGCAGCAUGAAGCUCCAUAAUUUGGUAUAUGUGCACUACAACCUUCGGCUUCGUAUUCAGCGUGCAACAGCUACAGUUGAGGCAAGUGAUUUCGAUCCUGCUACUAGCUUCAUGGAUCUCUCAUUGUAUCGGCAGACCAGGCCAAUUGAAGAAUGGAUGCAGCAUGGUAGAUCAAAUAGAGCACCAACCUUAGAUGAAGAUUCUGAUUUUGCCGACCCUCCUGUGCCUGCUCAGAUCUUGACUGACCUCGCACGUAGGGUGGGUGAGCCAGUAAAUGUUGAUGAUUGGGCCAGAGAGAAUAUUGGUGACACCCACCUAGGAAAAAGAAAGACCAAAAUUCCUCCAAAUCAGUCUAAACAAAAAAAAACAAAGAAAGGGUGACGUUGAGGAGGAAAGCAUUGGCACUGACGAUACCACACCAGAGCCUAGUGAUGAUGGACAUGGUGGUAGUGGUGGUGAUGAUGAUGACGACGACGACGAUGACGAUGAUGGUGAUGGCAAUGAGGGUGGUGAUGACAAUGACGAUGAUGAUGGGGAUGAUCGUGGUGGUGCUUCUACUAGUGGUGCUCCAACUGGUGCUAUGAGAUUUACGGGAGAGACUGCCUUCACCCAUGCCACACAAGAUCAAGAUCAUGGAGCACCCAGCUCUCAACGUCGCACAAGAAGCAAUACUCGUCCAUUAGGCCCGUACGACGGUGAGGAUGAUGGUAGCUCUACCUCUGUCAGUUCCACCUACAGCUACCCGUCGGCACCCUCCUUUGUGUGGCCACCACAACCACAUCCGAUGGCUGUCCCUCCGCGUCCUCUAUAUGGAUAUCCCCAUAUGUACUAUCAAGGAUAUCUCCCAUAUGGAAAUCCUCACAUGUACUAUCAGGAAUAUCCCCCAGAGCAAGAUCCCUCCGAAUGAGUACCUAAGUAUGUAGGAUUCGACGUUACAAUGGGAGUCAUCAACAAUUUCCGGUCGGUCGUAAGGUUUUCCUAUGGGAAAACACCGAAAUAAAAAUUUUAGAGUAUAUUAUGUGUUAACUAUUUGAGACUUGUAUUAUUUGAACCUAUAUUUUAUUUGAACCUAUAAAUUGUGUUAACAAGUUGAACCUAUAUUUUAUUGCAUUUGGAUUGUGGUUUGUAUUGAUAUACAUAUGUUUUACGUCAAUUCUAUUAAUAUUUGCUUUGUAA